rnacentral:rRNA from 1 species
GACGAACGCUGGCGGCGUGCUUAACACAUGCAAGUCGAACGGAAAGGCCCUGCUUUUGUGGGGUGCUCGAGUGGCGAACGGGUGAGUAACACGUGAGUAACCUGCCCUUGACUUUGGGAUAACUUCAGGAAACUGGGGCUAAUACCGGAUAGGAGCUCCUGCUGCAUGGUGGGGGUUGGAAAGUUUCGGCGGUUGGGGAUGGACUCGCGGCUUAUCAGCUUGUUGGUGGGGUAGUGGCUUACCAAGGCUUUGACGGGUAGCCGGCCUGAGAGGGUGACCGGCCACAUUGGGACUGAGAUACGGCCAAGACUCCUAAGGGAGGCAGCAGUGGGGAAUAUUGCACAAUGGGCGGAAGCCUGAUGCAGCAACGCCGCGUGCGGGAUGACGGCCUUCGGGUUGUAAACCGCCUUCGCCUGUGACGAAGCGUGAGUGACGGUAAUGGGUAAAGAAGCACCGGCUAACUACGUG